rnacentral:lncRNA from 1 species
GUCUUGCACACCCUGCCAGGCCAGUGGGAUUUGGGCUGCCCACAGGUGGGGCAUGAAGGAAAGGAAGUGCACAGCGCACAGGAGCUGGCUGCUGGGGCGGAGCCAGAACCUUCCCCGGGAAGAAUCUCCACUCACAACAGAGGCUUUCAGGGACCUGGGUUCAAGUUUCGCCAUCCGCAGGCCAUGUUACCUCCCUGCUCUGAACCUCAGUGAUGGAAUCAUCUCCCUGUAGCAUCUUUCCUGUAGUCACAGGAAAGACUGUUCUAUUGCCUAGGCUCUACCUUCAGUAGCACCAUGCUGGGGACCAUGCCUUUAACACAUGAGCCUUUGGGAACAUUCCAGACUCAAGCUAUGGCAUUGAAAGUCAUCAAUUUCUGCCUUGAAGGACAAUAAGCACAUGUAUGUGUCACCAGCACCUCUUUAGUCAUGAGUUGUCUGAUCUUGGGUGGGUCUCUUAGUCUUGCUGAGCCUCAGUUUCUUCCUCUGAAAAAUGGGCUUGACUAUACAGUAGAUUCUCCUUAUAUCUGGAAAAUGCAUUCCAAGACCCCCAGGGGAGGCCUAAACCUAC